CUACAUUGUGUGUCAAAUCCUUUCUGAAUCCUUUUUGUUGCAUAUAUGAGAAGACAUUUAGAAAAAGAUUUUGGAAUGCCUUUAAUCUUCUAAAUCAACAAUAAAGAAAAAAAUGAAAUAAAGGUCAAGGUUUUGAUAUACUGCUUCUAAAGUACAUCCCACACUGAGUAAAACACCAUGAAAUCAUCUGUCAGAACUGACUUUCUUCCAGAGACUACAUUCCAAGAGCGUGAAGAGAGCAAAGUGGCUAUUGGAUGGUUUCCUUAGAUUCCAAUGCACCUUAAUCAUAUUCACAAGACUGUACGUUUUCAUCACUGCAGGAGCUGGCAGAAUUUUGUGACAAUUCUGGGAAAUGCUUUCAGAUGGCCCCUUCUAUGAAUUAUGAAUGUUUCACAAAGCUCUAUGGUAAAUGGAAUAGCCUUGUUCUCCACAAAUGCAGGGGUGGAUUAAGAGGUGGCCUUCCUUUGUUUCUUUGCCUUGAAAUUUAAUAUUGUUUGCAAACAGAGAAAUUAAAUCUCGAUGAAGAUCCCAACCUUCCUUGAUGAAAGGAUGCUAGGUGCUCAAUAAAUGCUUCAUGAAGAAAUGAACCCAAUCACAUGCCAGGCUUUCAGACUCAGACUGGGAUUACACCAUUGGUUCUCCAGCUCUCUGGAGAGAGAGCUUCCUGGGUCUUCAGUUUGCAGAGAGCAGAUCAUGGGUCUUCUCAGCCUCCAAAAUUGU
rnacentral:lncRNA from 1 species